rnacentral:rRNA from 1 species
UGGGGAAUUUUGCACAAUGGGGGAAACCCUGAUGCAGCGACGCCGCGUGAGCGAAGAAGGCCUUCGGGUCGUAAAGCUCUUUUAUGAGGGAAGAUAAUGACGGUACCUCAAGAAAAAGCCCCGGCUAACUACGUGCCAGCAGCCGCGGUAAUACGUAGGGGGCUAGCGUUGUCCGGAAUCACUGGGCGUAAAGGGUUCGCAGGCGGAAUAACAAGUCAGAUGUGAAAGGCAUGGGCUCAACCCAUGUAAGCAUUUGAAACUGUAAUUCUUGAGAAGUGGAGAGGUAAGUGGAAUUCCUAGUGUAGCGGUGAAAUGCGUAGAUAUUAGGAGGAAUACCUGUGGCGAAGGCGACUUACUGGACACAAAUCUGACGCUGAGGAACGAAAGCGUGGGUAGCAAACAGG